GAAGGAGUGAGAUGGACUUCUAAGUAGGUGCAGGACCUAUAUGGUUUGCACUUAGGGAGUGGAAACAACAACCAGGACUCCAAUGGAGGAGUAAAGAGGGUGAGGAUUGGGCUCAUGCAGCUGGAUGUAUUUGCUCUUGUAGCCAAAUCGAGGAGAGGAUAAAAGGCUAGGUCCAUGGACGGGAACCCCAUUUCAGAGCGAUGGAUCUGAUCCUGCUGGGUGCUUUGCUCUCCAACUCCUGCAUACCUCUUUCUGGAGGGACCUUCUCCAUCGACCAGCCUCUGUUCCAAAGCUACAUGCAAGAGGCCACCAAUGGCACCAGCGACCAAACAAAGAGGCCCGAAGAGCCGGCGUUGUCCGUAGACACCUCCAAGGU
rnacentral:lncRNA from 11 species